rnacentral:rRNA from 1 species
GGCUUUGCGGCAGCUAACACAUGCAGUCGAACGGUAGCACAGAGAGCUUGCUCUCGGGUGACGAGUGGCGGACGGGUGAGUAAUGUCUGGGAAACUGCCUGAUGGAGGGGGAUAACUACUGGAAACGGUAGCUAAUACCGCAUAACGUCGCAAGACCAAAGAGGGGGACCUUCGGGCCUCUUGCCAUCAGAUGUGCCCAGAUGGGAUUAGCUAGUAGGUGGGGUAACGGCUCACCUAGGCGACGAUCCCUAGCUGGUCUGAGAGGAUGACCAGCCACACUGGAACUGAGACACGGUCCAGACUCCUACGGGAGGCAGCAGUGGGGAAUAUUGCACAAUGGGCGCAAGCCUGAUGCAGCCAUGCCGCGUGUAUGAAGAAGGCCUUCGGGUUGUAAAGUACUUUCAGCGGGGAGGAAGGUGUUGUGGUUAAUAACCGCAGCAAUUGACGUUACCCGCAGAAGAAGCACCGGCUAACUCCGUGCCAGCAGCCGCGGUAAUACGGAGGGUGCAAGCGUUAAUCGGAAUUACUGGGCGUAAAGCGCACGCAGGCGGUCUGUCAAGUCGGAUGUGAAAUCCCCGGGCUCAACCUGGGAACUGCAUUCGAAACUGGCAGGCUGGAGUCUUGUAGAGGGGGGUAGAAUUCCAGGUGUGGCGGUGAAAUGCGUAGAGAUCUGGAGGAAUACCGGUGGCGAAGGCGGCCC